GAUGAACGCUGGCGGCGUGCCUAAUACAUGCAAGUCGAGCGAACGGACGAGAAGCUUGCUUCUCUGAUGUUAGCGGCGGACGGGUGAGUAACACGUGGAUAACCUACCUAUAAGACUGGGAUAACUUCGGGAAACCGGAGCUAAUACCGGAUGAUAUUUUGAACCGCAUGGUUCAAAAGUGAAAGACGGUCUUGCUGUCACUUAUAGAUGGAUCCGCGCUGCAUUAGCUAGUUGGUAAGGUAACGGCUUACCAAGGCAACGAUGCAUAGCCGACCUGAGAGGGUGAUCGGCCACACUGGAACUGAGACACGGUCCAGAAUCCUACGGGAGGCAGCAGUAGGGAAUCUUCCGCAAUGGGCGAAAGCCUGACGGAGCAACGCCGCGUGAGUGAUGAAGGUCUUCGGAUCGUAAAACUCUGUUAUUAGGGAAGAACAUAUGUGUAAGUAACUGUGCACAUCUUGACGGUACCUAAUCAGAAAGCCACGGCUAACUACGU
rnacentral:rRNA from 1 species